GUGAGUGCAGUGGAAAACCUUGGGUUGAAGGCUGCAAGACCCAGGAUUCCAUCUCCUGCUUGGAAAGUUCUUUUGUGGUGGAAGAGAAAAAAUGUUGAGCAGUGUAGAGCCUAAAGGGUUUAAGUAGUCUCUUAAAUAUCCUAGGCCAAGGACACAGAGAUACUUGAAGACAAGAGCCAAGGACUGGAUUCAUGAAACCAUCUUGGUGUAGUGAUGCUGAUGAUGUCCAGCCCAAAGCAUGGGAUUCACAGCAGACAAUAUGCUACGCAGGGCCAUGCAUAGGCCAGCAAAAAGGAAGAUAUAAGCAACUGCAACCAAAGUCAGUAGGCAAACUGAGAACGGUUACAUAAGGCUAUUGUAGACACUGCAACUAAUCCAUCUUCCUCACAUUGGGACCUUCUGAUCGUCCAAAACAGGGUGCCUCUGCUGUCGGCACUGCCAGCUGGGGGUUCCAGAGGAGGGUCUUAACAAGCAGAUCGGUGCCCUGGGACUCUUGCAGUUUGCACAGACAAGGGGAAUUGUCUAAUUGUCUUGCCCUUCAAGUCAUUAUGAAACAUUUCAGUCAAAGACUGUCACUCACCAUGAGAAAAUAUAAGAAUCAAUCUUCAAACAGAAGACAAGAUGCUUCCACUCAGAAAAUAAUUAAGUUAUCAACUCACUUCCUGAAAAUCAAAGAAGUCUGCUUGGCUAGUCAGUCGUUACUCCGUGAAUUGAGCCCAAUUUGGGGGCAGGAAACAGAGCCUCUCCUCAGAUCUCAUAUUUUUCCUUAACCCAAAUACAGCUGUCUCUCCUCUGACCCUUGACUUUUAUUAACCAACUAUCAAGAAGGAAUGCUUUGAAGCGAUACAAUUAAAACAGUAUACAAAGCAAAGCAAGACAGAACUGCUAGCAAGGUGUGUGCAGUCCAGUGAAGAUCAAGAAGCCAUCCUGCCAUCCAGCCAUGAGUGAAGGACCCACGUGCUGUGAAAGCUGACAUAAACUGCUUCCUGCCUGCUUGGGUAAAGAUCUCUUGCAGCUAAGAUAAUACAAAGAUUAAUAGCUCAUUUACUGAAUAUUAAGGAAAAGUAUUUUGUUUGUUCUGUCAUUUAGUUUUAUAGUUUGUUGGUGGUUAGUAAA